UACGUAGGGGACAAGCGUUGUCCGGAAUUAUUGGGCGUAAAGGGCGCGUAGGCGGCCCGGUAAGUAGGGGGGUGAAAUCCUGCGGCUUAACCGCAGGGCUGCCUUCUAAACUGUCGGGCUCGAGCACGGUAGAGGCAGAUGGAAUUCCCGGUGUAGCGGUGGAAUGCGUAGAGAUCGGGAAGAACAUCAGUGGCGAAGGCGGUCUGCUGGGCCGUUGCUGACGCUGAGGCGCGACAGCGUGGGGGAGCAAAC
rnacentral:rRNA from 1 species